UAUGGUGCGACGCCGCGUGAGGGAUGAAGGUCUCGGAUUGUAAACCUCUGUCACCGGGGAAGAAACGCUUUGAGUAAUAGUUCAAAGCCUGACUUAACCCGGAGAGGAAGCAGUGGCUAACUCUGUGCCAGCAGCCGCGGUAAUACAGAGACUGCAAGCGUUAUUCGGAUUCACUGGGCGUAAAGGGUGCGCAGGCGGCCGUGUGUGUGAGGCGUGAAAGCCCGGAGCUUAACUCCGGAAUUGCACCUCAAACUACACGGCUAGAGCAUUGGAGAGGGUAGCGGAAUUCACGGUGUAGCAGUGAAAUGCGUAGAUAUCGUGAGGAACACCAGAGGCGAAGGCGGCUACCUGGACAAUUGCUGACGCUCAGGCACGAAAGCGUGGGGAGCAAAAGGGAUUAGAUACCCCUGUAGUCCACGCCCUAAACGGUGCACACUAGGUCUUGGCGGAUUCGAGCCCACCAGGGCCCAAGCUAACGCGUUAAGUGUGCCGCCUGAGGACUACGGCCGCAAGGCUAAAACUCAAAGGAAUUUGACGGGGGCCCGCACAAGCGGUGGAGUAUGUGGCUCAAUUCGAUGCAACGCGAAGAAACUUACCUAGCCUUGACAUGCAGGAGACCGGCGCUGAAAGGCG
rnacentral:rRNA from 1 species